rnacentral:tRNA from 2 species
GCCCUCGUAGCCCAAUGGUAGGGCGUCAGACUUCUACUCUCCGAAGUCGGAAUCAAGUAGAUCUGAAGGUUGCGGGUUCGAGUCCCGCCGGGGGUA